rnacentral:lncRNA from 1 species
GACCUCACUUAGAAUGUACAACAGAAAAAAAGGCCCAAGUUGUUUAAAAGAUAAAAGGACAAUGACACACUUGGGGAGAAAGCUAUACCCCCCAGAGAACAAACAAAAGACUCACUUUGCCAAAUUAAAAAAUGGACUCAUUUAAGAGAUAAAAAAUUUGUCCAAAUAGUUAAGUGUAUAUAAUAGACUUUAAGAUUUUAGCCAGAGAGACAGUAAAAAAAUAUAAGAUAUGUCAAUAAGUAAAUGCUUAACAAACAAACAAGACAAAGAGACCUAGAGAGUUUAGUGAAAAGUCAAAGUAAACUUCACUGAGAUAAAACCAAAAAAAAUAUGAUCACAAGUAUCUCCUAGUGCUUGUAGAUACCUUUUCAGGAAUAGAUAGAAGCUUUCCUCACCAAACGAGAGACGGCCUCGGUAGUCAUCAAGAAGAUACUGGAAGAAAUCUUCCCCAGGUCUGGAAUGCCCAAGGUAAUCUGGUCAGACAACGGCCCUACUUUCGUUGCCAAGGUAAGCCAGGGUGUGGCCAAGUAUUUAGAGGUCAAUUAAAAAUUACAUUAUAUUUACAGACCUCAAAGUUCAAGACAGGUAGAGUAAAUAAAAUUUUAAAAGAGACCCUAAACAAAUUGACCAUAGAGACUGGCACAGAUUGGGUGACACUCCUUCCCUCUUGCUCUCUUCAGAGCAAGAAAUACCCCUUCCAGAUUCAGCCUUACCCCCUUUGAGAUCUUAUAUGGGGCCUCAGCUCCCCUGACUGUAUUAGAUGAUGUUACUGAACCAACUUGUCAUAGUGCCAUAGUAAUAAUGAUUUGUGUGCCAGGCUAAAAGACCUACAGGUGAUACAGAAAGAAAUCUGCUCACAGCUGACAGCAGCCUAUGCCCUGGA